rnacentral:rRNA from 1 species
UACGUCGGGGGCUAGCGUUGUCCGGAUUUAUUGGGCGUAAAGAGCGUGUAGGCGGCCAGGUAGGUCUGCUGUGAAAACUCGAGGCUCAACCUCGAGACGUCGGCGGAAACCAUCUGGCUAGAGUCCGGAAGAGGUGAGUGGAACUCCUAGUGUAGAGGUGGAAUUCGUAGAUAUUAGGAAGAACACCAGUGGCGAAGGCGGCUCACUGGUCCGGUACUGACGCUGAGGUGCGAAAGCGUGGGGAGCAAACAGG